UUCAGAAACAGUUUUUAAUUUCGAUAAGAUUGCUUGUUCUGCUGACUGGAAGUGGAACGUCUCUGGAUCAUCUCCGUUCUUCGUUAGGACUUCCUCGAGUCGUUCUUGUAGGACUAUCUUGAGCCCACUGCUGUCCACGUCCCGUUCCUCUAGCUGUUCACGGAGCUGUUUUACUGUAAGUUCUUGUAGCAACAUCUUUGGUCGGCACACACGUACUUUCCAAAAUUCUUUUAAAGUCUUUCCGAAUACCGAACAAUUAACGCACUCCGGUUAUUCCCGACGAAUAAAGUUCAAAAGUCUUUUAAAGUCUCUCUGUAAUUCACUUAUUUAUAUCGCACUAAGUUUACCGAACACCGACACCAACUGUA
rnacentral:lncRNA from 1 species